GACGAACGCUGGCGGCGUGCCUAAUACAUGCAAGUAGAACGCUGAAGAGAGGAGCUUGCUCUUCUUGGAUGAGUUGCGAACGGGUGAGUAACACGUAGGUAACCUGCCUUGUAGCGGGGGAUAACUAUUGGAAACGAUAGCUAAUACCGCAUAACAAUGGAUGACCCAUGUCAUUUAUUUGAAAGGGGCAAAUGCUCCACUACAAGAUGGACCUGCGUUGUAUUAGCUAGUAGGUGAGGUAACGGCUCACCUAGGCGACGAUACAUAGCCGACCUGAGAGGGUGAUCGGCCACACUGGGACUGAGACACGGCCCAGACUCCUACGGGAGGCAGCAGUAGGGAAUCUUCGGCAAUGGGGGCAACCCUGACCGAGCAACGCCGCGUGAGUGAAGAAGGUUUUCGGAUCGUAAAGCUCUGUUGUAAGUCAAGAACGAGUGUGAGAGUGGAAAGUUCACACUGUGACGGUAGCUUACCAGAAAGGGACGGCUAACUACGUG
rnacentral:rRNA from 1 species